rnacentral:rRNA from 1 species
UACGUAGGUGACAAGCGUUGUCCGGAUUUACUGGGCGUAAAGAGCGCGCAGGCGGUCGAUCAAGUCGAGUGUGAAAGCCCCCGGCUCAACUGGGGAGGGUCAUUCGAAACUGGUCGACUCGAGGGCAGGAGAGGGUAGUGGAAUUCCCGGUGUAGUGGUGGAAAUGCGUAGAUAUCGGGAGGAACACCAGUGGCGAAGGCGACUACCUGGCCUGUUCUUGACGCUGAGGCGCGAA